rnacentral:rRNA from 1 species
GUAUUGGACUACCAUGGCUUUAACGGGUAACGGAGGAUUAGGGUUCGAUUCCGGAGAGGGAGCCUGAGAAACGGCUACCACAUCUAAGGAAGGCAGCAGGCGCGUAAAUUACCCAAUCCUGACUCAGGGAGGUAGUGACAAGAAAUAACGGACCGAGGCUUUUGCUUCGGGAUUGCAAUGAGUAGAAUUUAAACCCCUUUACAAGGAUCAAUUGGAGGGCAAGUCUGGUGCCAGCAGCCGCGGUAAUUCCAGCUCCAAUAGCGUAUAUUAAAGUUGUUGCAGUUAAAAAGCUCGUAGUUGGAUUUCUGGGAGGGCGCCAAUGUCCGCUCGUUCGCGUGUGCAGCGGCGCCCUUCCAUCCUUCUGUUAACGUUUCUUGGUAUUCAGUUACUGGUUUCGGGCUCAGAUAUUUUACCUUGAGAAAAUUAGAGUGUUCCAGGCAGGCUUGCGCCGGAAUACAUUAGCAUGGAAUAAUAGAAUAGGACUUUAGUCUCCUUUGUUGGUUUGAGGGAUUGAAGUAAUGAUUAAUAGGGAUAGUUGGGGGCAUUAGUAUUUAAUUGUCAGAGGUGAAAUUCUCGGAUUUGUUAAAGACUAACUUAUGCGAAAGCAUUUGCCAAGGAUGUUUUCAUUAAUCAAGAACGAAAGUUAGGGGAUCAAAGACGAUCAGAUACCGUCCUAGUCUUAACCAUAAACUAUGCCGACUAGGGAUCGGAGGCGCGCUUUAUCCGCCUUCGGCACCUUAUGAGAAAUCAAAGUCUUUGGGUUCUGGGGGGAGUAUGGUCGCAAGGCUGAAACUUAAAGGAAUUGACGGAAGGGCACCACCAGGAGUGGAGCUUGCGGCUCAAU